UAAUAAUAUUUGUUAGCGUUGAGGAUGGUGUAGGAACACAACAAAGCCACGUGAGAAGGAGUAGCACGAAGAAACUGUGCUACUAAUCAUACAACCCAACGUUUUUGUCGAGGUUGUUUUACCAAAAGACAAAAACUAUUAACGAACACCAAUAAAAUCAUCCACGUGCGGCUGACUCUGACUUUUCACCUCCUAGUGACUCGCGUGGCUCAACUCUAUAUACCUCCGUGUCCACGUGCACAGCGGCAACACGUUCUGAUAUCUAAUCAACUACUUGUGGGUCCCUUGUUUGUCUUUUACUUUCAAUCCCCGCCGUCCAUUUAGCUGUUGAUUGUUGAACUUCAAGGCUGUCCAACUGUUCUGCUGGCUAUAAACACUAAUUAAUUAAAAGAUUAAACGUUUGUU
rnacentral:lncRNA from 1 species